rnacentral:rRNA from 1 species
AUGGAAGGCAAUAACCUGCCACCUGGAAACUUUAUGCAAGGAGCAACUUAUGGCAGUUCAGACUUGCACCGGAAUCCCAUGCAAAUGCACGGUCCAAGCUCCGGUAAUCAGGGCUUCAACCACUCUCAGAUACCUGGCAAAUUCCCCAUGCCUAUGAACCAGGUUACAGAUUCUGACCACUUGUCGGAAUUUCAAUUCAGAGGACAAAGGAAGGCUGAUCACCACCAGGUCCACCACCACCACUAUCACAAGAAGGACUCCAUGAGCGAUGAUGAGGAGCAUGGUCUGAACGAGGAUACCACUGAUAGCCACAGCAGCAAGGGAAAGAAGGGCUCAGCAUGGCAGCGGAUGAAGUGGACGGAUUCAAUGGUUAAGCUUUUAAUUACUGCAGCGUCCUACACUGGUGAGGAUCCAGGAGCUGAUUUAGGAUGUGGAAGGAGGAACUGUGCAAUGGUGCAUAAAAAAGGCAAGUGGAAGGCAAUAUCAAAGGUGAUAGGCGAGCGAGGUUGCAAUGUGUCACCGCAGCAGUGCGAGGAUAAGUUCAAUGACCUCAAUAAGAGAUACAAAAGGCUUACAGAUAUCCUUGGUCGGGGUACAACUUGCAAGGUUGUGGCGAAUCCAGCACUUUUGGAUCGCAUGGAUAAUCUCUCUGACAAGUUGAAAGAUGACGCAAGGAAGAUACUGAGCUCAAGGCACUUAUUCUAUGAGGAGAUGUGCUCCUACCAUAAUAAUAACCGGAUUAGUUUGCCUGAAGAUCUUCCACUUCAGCGUUCACUGCAGUUUGCUCUUAGGUGCAAAGAGGAAAAUGAUAUGAUGAGAGGAGCAAGUGGAGAUGCCGAUGAAGAUGACCAGAGUUCAGACUCUGAUUAUGAGGAAGAUAAUGAUGAGGACCAUCAUGUGGCGCAUAGCAAUAAAGGGGGCUUACCCAUGCAAAAGAAGAUGCGGUAUACAGCGGAUCACGAGGAUGCAGGUUUUGGGAACUCUUUGAGUGCACACGAAUGUAGCCAGAGGUCUAAUCCCCAUGGCAUCGCACUAGAUAUCAACAAAGUUGUUCCAGAUGGAACCAGCUUGGCUUUGACACAGAAGGGCUUAGUAUUGCAAUCUGCAGAACUUGAAAAACAGUGCUUGAAAAUCGAAAAUGAGGCACUGGAGCUUGCAGAACAACGCCUCAAGUGGGAACUAUCCAGUAAAAUUAAGGACAAGGAACUGGAAAGGAUGAGGUCAGAUAACGAACAUAUGAAGAUUGAGAUUAAACGCUUAGAACUGGAGGUAAGGCGCAAAGAGUUAGAGCUUGAACUCAAGCUGAAAGGAAAUGUCAAUCAUUCAUGA